GCUGGGACAAAGGUGGAGUGAGAAAGUCUCUCUUUUCCUAUUGCAGAAAUGGGACUAAGAGCCGCACGCAGCCUUUGCCCCCGGGGCGGGCACUAACUCAUCAUGAGGACACUCGUGCUGGAAAGCUGAAGUCUCCCGCGGACCCGGGCCUCAGCGGGGGUCCCCCUGCCUGCUGGCCAGCUCCGUCUUGAUGCUGGAGGCCAGCUGCGGUGACCCCGUUGUGCCGCCAGCCACGGCUCUGGGGACGGGCGACGCACCUUCAGGAGCCGGGAGACGUCAGGGAGGUUCUGCCCGAAAACCUUCUCACUUCUAUUUUUUUUUAAAAGAUUUAUUUAUUUACGAUAGAGAGAGAGAGAGAGAGAGGCAGAGACACAGGAGGAAGGAGGAGCAGGCUCCAUGCAGGGAGCCCGAUGUGGGACUCGAUCCCGGGACUCCAGCAUGGAAGGCAGGAGCUAAACCACUGAGCCACCCGGGGGAUCCCCACCUUCUCACUUUUAAAAAGAGAAACACAAACAGAUGUCCAUGCCAGCGUGGCCGAGCCUGUCUGUGCUCGAUGCCCGAAGCCGCUGCAGCCCCGGCCUCAAUGGGUCCCGCUUGGACAGUCCACGUCCCAAAGGGCAGUGGAAAACACGAGAAAGGCUGAGAAGUUCACCAUCUUUGUUGCCGUGGGAGCCAGUGCCCAGCCGCUUGAUCGCCCAGGCCUGCCUUCCAGCUGCUCUCCACCCCGUGCCUGCCACGGUGACCAUCGGAGUAGUCAUGCCAUCCACCAACACCAAGGACGUCCCAUUGCCCUCCGCCAAGAAAGUUGUCUGUGUGUUUAUUAAACAUCUUUGUAACCUAGUUCUGAAACCUCGUUUUAAGGGUUUAUUAUCCAAGGGAAGAGGAGUGCACUCAGAAGGGGUGUGAUUGAGGUGUGAGCAUUGUUAGGGGUGAAGAUAAAGCCAGUAGGGGAUAGGGGAGCACCUUGGGGCUUGCACCAGCAGGAGAAGGAGCCACUUCCACCUGUAGGCCUGAGGGCUGGAGUGCGUGAGCCGCUCCCAGGGCUGGGAGGUCUGCAGUUGGGUCGAAACCCUCUGUCUGUUGGCCUCCGGCAGCAGCUGGACCUUACCUCUGUAGCCCUGGGGCUCCCGUAGGUUCCUCCCGUCUUGUUGGGGCUGGGCCCUCAUCACGGCCAUCCUGAGUGGCUAUGCUCCCUUGUAAAAUCCCAUUUGCUUUCUGUUUCUAUGAGAUUCCUGUUUUCUGGACCUCUGAGCUAUCUUCCCCCCUUGCUUUUGAGUUUACUUAUUAUUCACUUAUUGAAAAUAAAGUCUGUCUUCUUGAUUGUUUCCACUUGGUGCAAGGGAGGAAGACUGCAGAUAUAUCCACUUAGCUAACUCGAAACUGGAACUCUAUGUCAAUGAUAAUGUCAAAAUUUUCAAGUUUUGUAAUCCCUCAUCCAUAAUUCUGACGUUUACAAAAUUUUGUGAAGCUUUGUGUUUUUUUCCGCCCGAAUCAUCUGGCAGCAAAUCUUGACCCAAGUGUGAGUUUGAUGAAAAUA